UACGGAGGGUGCAAGCGUUGUCCGGAUUCAUUGGGUUUAAAGGGUGCGCAGGCGGGAGGUUAAGUCAGGGGUGAAAGACGGCAGCUCAACUGUCGCAGUGCCCUUGAUACUGGCCUUCUUGGGUAACCUUGAGGUAGGCGGAAUGGGCGGUGUAGCGGUGAAAUGCAUAGAUACCGCCCAGAACCCCGAUUGCGAAGGCAGCCUACUGGGGGUUUACCGACGCUCAGGCACGAAAGCGUGGGGAUCAAACAGG
rnacentral:rRNA from 1 species